CCAUAAAUGACGAGCGCAGAGACGACGACACACGUCGUGGCACGGCUUUGUGGCAAUGAUCGGACUCCAGCGAGCACUCUGAUUGGACCUGGUGGCCUUCACCGUUCGAAGACACCACGACGAGCAUCAAUAUGAUCUUGCGAUCUCGCCCAACCAGUAGCUGAACUCCGAACGUCGAAGGUAGAGUUCGCCCACGAUGAGGCACAGUUCUACGGCGGUGGUAAGACCCCGGCGAGCAAUUACGCCAUCCCUAGACGCCUUCGAACUUCGGCAAGGCACGGUACCCCUCAGAGAAGACGCUCCCCAGCUCCCCGCAGACCAAACACCGAUGAAUCACGCACUGACUGUUGGCGGCAAAUCUCUUUCUCUCUCUGCUCACGGUUUCGCCCCGACGAUGCUCUCUCGGUGCUCGUGCUGGAUUGAUGGGACGGUCGCGGGUCCGCCUUUAUGCUUGUGGAUGGUCGAGGGGUG
rnacentral:lncRNA from 7 species